rnacentral:rRNA from 2 species
ACGGGUGAGUAAUGCAUCGGGAUCUACCUCAACGUGGGGGAUAACGUAGGGAAACUUACGCUAAUACCGCAUACGUCCUACGGGAGAAAGCAGGGGACCUUCGGGCCUUGCGCGGUGAGACGAACCGAUGUUCGAUUAGCUAGUUGGUAGGGUAAUGGCCUACCAAGGCGACGAUCGAUAGCUGGUCUGAGAGGAUGAUCAGCCACACUGGAACUGAGACACGGUCCAGACUCCUACGGGAGGCAGCAGUGGGGAAUAUUGGACAAUGGGCGCAAGCCUGAUCCAGCAAUGCCGCGUGUGUGAAGAAGGCCCUCGGGUUGUAAAGCACUUUUAUCAGGAACGAAAUACCACGGGUUAAUACCCUAUGGGGCUGACGGUACCUGAGGAAUAAGCACCGGCUAACUUCGUGCCAGCAGCCGCGGUAAUACGAAGGGUGCAAGCGUUAAUCGGAAUUACUGGGCGUAAAGGGUGCGUAGGCGGUUGUUUAAGUCUGUCGUGAAAUCCCCGGGCUCAACCUGGGAAUGGCGAUGGAUACUGGACAGCUAGAGUGUGUCAGAGGAUGGUGGAAUUCCCGGUGUAGC